rnacentral:rRNA from 1 species
UACGUAGGUGGCAAGCGUUGUCCGGAUUUACUGGGCGUAAAGGAUGCGUAGGCGGACAUUUAAGUCAGGUGUGAAAGCCCUGGGCUUAACCUAGGAAUUGCGCUUGAGACUGGAUAGCUUGGAGUGCGGCAGAGGGAGGUGGAAUUCCACGUGUAGCAGUGAAAUGCGUAGAGAUGUGGAGGAACACCGAUGGCGAAGGCAGCCUCCUGGGCCAGCACUGACGCUCAUGCACGAAAGCGUGGGGAGCAAACAGG